rnacentral:rRNA from 1 species
CCUACGGGAGGCAGCAGUGGGGAAUAUUGCACAAUGGGCGCAAGCCUGAUGCAGCCAUGCCGCGUGUGUGAAGAAGGCCUUCGGGUUGUAAAGCACUUUCAGCGGGGAGGAAGGCGGUGAGGUUAAUAACCUCAUCGAUUGACGUUACCCGCAGAAGAAGCACCGGCUAACUCCGUGCCAGCAGCCGCGGUAAUACGGAGGGUGCAAGCGUUAAUCGGAAUUACUGGGCGUAAAGCGCACGCAGGCGGUCUGUCAAGUCGGAUGUGAAAUCCCCGGGCUCAACCUGGGAACUGCAUUCGAAACUGGCAGGCUAGAGUCUUGUAGAGGGGGGUAGAAUUCCAGGUGUAGCGGUGAAAUGCGUAGAGAUCUGGAGGAAUACCGGUGGCGAAGGCGGCCCCCUGGGCAAAGACUGACGCUCAGGUGCGAAAGCGCGGGGAGCAAACAGGAUUAGAUACCCUGGUAGUC